rnacentral:rRNA from 1 species
UCAGACGAUGCGUCAUGCAUAUCAAUAAGCGGAGGAAAAGAAACUAACAAGGAUUCCCUUAGUAACGGCGAGUGAAGCGGGAAGAGCUCAAAUUUGAAAUCUUCAAGGUUUUACCUUGACGAAUUGUAGUUUAAAGAAGUGUUUUCGGUUAGAGGAGUUUAGGUAAAAGUUCUUUGGAAUAGGACAUCAUAGAGGGUGAGAAUCCCGUAUUUGACCAUUAUUUUCUAGCUUUGUGAUACACUUUCAAAGAGUCGGAUUGUUUGGGAAUGCAGUCCAAAAUGGGUGGUAAAUUUCAUCUAAAGCUAAAUAUUGGCGAGAGACCGAUAGCGAACAAGUACCGUGAGGGAAAGAUGAAAAGAACUUUGAAAAGAGAGUUAAACAGUACGUGAAAUUGUCAAAAGGGAAGCGUUUGACACCAGUGUUGUUUUCUCGAAAAUCAAUUAAAAAGAGUUGGAUUUUGUGUUGUAUUGACCUUAACAGCUUGCUUCACUCUUUUCCUGCUUUUUUUAAUGCACUUUUCGUUUAACAAGUCAACAUCAGUUUCUUUUGUUGUAAAAGGGUCAUUGGAAGGUGGCUUUCUCUUCGGAGAAAGUGUUUAUAGCCUUUGAUCUCUGCAAUCGGAGAGACUGAGGUCUGCAGCGUAGAUCCUUCGGGGUUAGAUACAUUUGUGCUAAGCUACAGCUUUUCAUAGACAACUUGUUGACUAUGUUUAGUCUUGUAACUUACCCGCUUAUGCUAUUUUACCUACGCUUAGGAUGUUGAUAUGCAUGACUGAUAU